GCCUUAAGUCCGAUCCCAAUACCUGAGGCCGUUCACCUCCGCCAUGGACGAGGAGUACUAUGUAGUUGCAGAUUAGCUAUUACUCUCACUCGACAUGGUUUGGAGGAGUGCUACCUAGUUGCACAUUGUAUCAGGACCUGCACUCGUUUUGGCCAAGGAACCAUCAUCGGGCAGUAGGGUGUCCCCUGAGUUCUAUGCGAUAACGGUCAUUGAACUCGGUAAGCCUUGCACAGAUAGCAUGUGCAAUG